rnacentral:rRNA from 1 species
GAUGAACGCUGGCGGCGUGCCUAAUACAUGCAAGUCGAGCGAACGGACGAGAAGCUUGCUUCUCUGAUGUUAGCGGCGGACGGGUGAGUAGCACGUGGAUAACCUACCUAUAAGACUGGGAUAACUUCGGGAAACCGGAGCUAAUACCGGAUAAUAUUUUGAACCGCAUGGUUCAAAAGUGAAAGACGGUCUUGCUGUCACCUAUAGAUGGAUCCGCGCUGCAUUAGCUAGUUGGUAAGGUAACGGCUUACCAAGGCAACGAUGCAUAGCCGACCUGAGAGGGUGAUCGGCCACACUGGAACUGAGACACGGUCCAGACUCCUACGGGAGGCAGCAGUAGGGAAUCUUCCGCAAUGGGCGAAAGCCUGACGGAGCAACGCCGCGUGAGUGAUGAAGGUCUUCGGAUCGUAAAACUCUGUUAUUAGGGAAGAACAUAUGUGUAAGUAACUGUGCACAUCUUGACGGUACCUAAUCAGAAAGCCACGGCUAACUACGUG